GGAGAUGUAAUGAAUUGACGGAGUUGUACUUUAAAAAACUGCAAGCCGACUUUGAUUCAUGAGUCGUUAAACAGAGUCAAAACAAACAUGCCAAAAAAACUUUUGGUGUUGACUUAACCGCGGUUAAAGAAAAUGUAAGCAAUUACUUUUCCGCACCCAAGGCUACUAACUUAGCUUUUUGCUAAGGUCAUCCAUUAGUUAAUCCUCCAUUCUAGAGAAGAUUAGCUAGUGUAAAUUAAACUAGAAUGCUUUUUUAAUUAUCUCGAUUUAAUUAAAAACCAAGAGGGGAGUAAUUUCCCCACCAAUCGACAUUCCGGCACUUUUUGUAAAUUUCAGUCGUCGGAAGCGUAGGUCAAAAUUUAUUAAGCUUGUAGACGUUUUUUAUAGUCGGCUUUCGGACCCCGGGUCACUCUCGGGCAUCUCCUCUA
rnacentral:tmRNA from 2 species